rnacentral:tRNA from 1 species
AAGGAUUUAAGUUAAACAAACUAAUAGCCUUCAAAGCUAUAAAUAAAGGUAAAAGAGCUUUAAGCCUUA